GUUGUGAUUCAUAUCAGGAUAGUAGGAUGUUGGGAAGAUGGUGGCAAUUUAGAAUAUACCUCUGGGAUCCUGGACCAUAAUGGUAGACCGCUAUCCACUGGACAAUUUAGAAUAGAGGGACUACUAUCCACCAUACAAUUUAGAAUAAGCCUCUGGGAUCCUGGACCAUAUACAUAGACCAUUUUCCACUGUACAAGACUGCCCAGAGAAGAAAUCCCAGUAUUGUGUCAUGGGAAAUGUUUUCAGUGGUUAAAGAUCUACCGUGAGAAAGCACUUCAUGGAAUCUCCCAGGCCUCGGUUUUAGCUCUUCAGCCUUAACCCUGAGGUCAGCAGUGCAGUUUAAUUCCAAAAAAAAACCACAACAUACAGGGGGCACUUGAGUGACAUUUUGGUAAAAUUUGCCCUUUUGGUUUAUAUGUUUAAUAUUAAUAGUUAAUAGUACAGGGAACUUCAGCUUUACAUGUGUACAUCAACACCGUGUUACCAUGAUUAGUGAGUAGAGCUACUGAACCUCGAAACAUUUGUCUUCCCUAUCUGAGGUAACAACACCUCCCCCCAGCCCCCUAAACUAUUAAUGACAGAAGUCCCAGCAAGAAAUUCGACUUGUGAGAAGAUUCAUGGCAGAGAAAUGUAAGGAACGCUUCACUCAAUCUGCAGAGCACACUGAGAUAAGGUCUUGUCACAUGACUUUUUUAGCAAUUUUCCUUUAUGGGCUUCAUUUACAUGUCCAAAGUGAAUCGGAGACAGUUGUGUAAUCUGACGUAAGCAGCCACUCAGCCCAACCAGUCUGUUGUCUUAAGUCGUCAGGACGUCUCUGCGUAUGCGAGGGCUAACAACCAAUGUGCGUGUGGCUAGUAGUACAAUGUAAGCUGCACAGCCACAAUGAAGCAGGAGAAGUUCAUGUUAUAGACCACACAAACAGAAGAGAUGCUCAUCUGUCUGAUGUCUCGUGUUUUAUGUACCACGACAGAAUGGAAAAAAGAUUAAAAAAAAAGUGCUGAGCCUGUGGCUGAAUUCAUGAUCCCCACACUGGCAUUGGCUCCAUCAUUUCUGGCUGCCAGAAAACGAGGCGCGCUCGAGAGAUACUUCAGAAACUAGGAAGUCAUCACGCGGUCGUCAAAUUUGACAUGUCCUUGCGAUAAUCUAGUUGUGUAAUUUGGCAUCCUCAGGUGACGAGAUCAGCAACUCAAUCGUCAAGUUUGACAUCUGUAGCGGGGUUUUGGUUGUUUUAAAUGGUAAUCCCUUUUAGUGGUGUGCCCUAGUGUUAAUUUUUGAAUGCUAGCCGGUAGCCACUGUGGAAGAAAUACAUUGAAAAUAUAUUAAAGAAAAAAAAUGGUUCUCUAAUAGGACCUCUUUGAGUCAGGAACCAGGCAGGAGGAAACUUGUCCAUUGCCUUGUCUUUAAUUUCUCUUUAUGAAGAAGGAGCAGCCUGUUACAGCAGUCUACUAAGGGGCAGUGCCCUGGGCAGAGGUGUCAGCAAAUGGGCACAGGCUAGAGAGAGAGAGAGCUCUAUUUAUAGAUAACUGAAUUUGCAUAAAAGUGCUGAAUUAUUGCCAGCUCUGAUUGGUUCACUAGCUCGCAUUCAGUCUGAUUGGUUCAAUUAUUAUGUACUCUGAUUGGUAACAACUUUAACCUCCAAAAAAUACAAACAGUAUAAAAAGCAAGCAACAAAAGAAGCAAUUCACUCAUAAUAAUAAAUAUAAUAAUAAUCCUUGCUACUGAAUUUUGACAAUAAAUAAAAUCUCAACAAUAAGUUCUUUGUUUUUUAAUUAAAAGUUUCACACAUUUGUUCCUUCUCCCUGGUCUAUCCUCGGUCGUCAUGACUGUUGCUGUCCCGGAUACAGGAAGAUGGCAUUGGAUGCUGGACCAGGGAGCCACAAAAUCCUCUCCAACUAGAAGUCUUGUAAUGCGAAGUCGGUUUUAUCUGCAUGGCGGGCCAUCAGCUGAAGAGCUCAGAUUUUCAAGACUUUGUACUCCCAAAGUGUCUGCAGGGUAUAAUGCAUUAAAAGUAGAAGAAAUGUUUCAUUCAAGCUGGAAGAAAUUCCAUUACAGGUCCAGGAAAUCUGCUUCAGUCUUGAAUUGGAGACGUGGCUCCCGAGGCUGAACACACUGACAGUUGAAUUUAUUUGCUGAGACCCUUGGAAUUGUGGGAUUUGUCUGCAUCACGUGCAUAGAGGACUCCUAGAAGCAUCCAUGUCAAAUGUAUCAGCAACGCAGAGGUGACAUUUUAAAUGACAAUAGAAUACAAGAAGAAGGACGGAAUUGUCGAGUGACAAAUACCAGACAACACAGAGAGAAACUGGCCUUGGAUUGAGACAUCGGGUGGGAUGGAUGCCAGUUUUCUUGAGAGGCUUUUACAGUAGACCAGAGGUUAAACCAUGGGAGGAAGAGGAGGAGGACCAUUCAACACUCAAAAUUCACGCAACACUCUUGGGUAUCAAAUCUUCUAGGAGCUGUCUGAGGGCCAGGGAUUUAUCUAACUUUGACCAACUUAUGGACCACCUAAUGGAAUUUUGGCUUGUCUGAUCUCUGACCCAGGACACGACUAUAGAGAGCAGGUCACUGGUACAGAAGGACCUUUUAUUGUCAAAGUACUUCUCUGAAUACUUGUGUCAAUGUGAUUUGCUAAAAUUUCCUAAAAUCCUAGUUUUGUUUUGUCAUUCUUGAAUACUGAGUGGUGCUUGAUGAGGGGAAAACAUGAACUGUAAUGAUUUUGGCAGAAGGUUGCAACAUAACACCAUGAAAAAAUAAAGUGAAGGAGUCUAAAUACUUUCUGAAUCCGCUGUAUGUCGCCAUGGUAAACACAGCAAACACCCCCCUCCCCUUGACACCCCACUGGUGUUUUCCUAACAUUUCAGUUGGUUGCAUUCUGAUUCAAUUUCAACACGGAAUCACAACAAACAGGAGCGCCAUCAGUGCCACUCCUGUGCCCAUGCUGGCACCAGUCCGGGAAGCCCAUUUAGACUUGAGGGGUCCAGCUUACUUGAAAGUGUGAGUACAUAAGUGCACAGCCUGUAAGGCAUGAGGCCAUCUUGCAUGCUGAGAUGAUGCCAGUCGUGUUGCUCAUUUCCUAAUACCUCCAUUGAACUCCAGAUGGUCGGCUCUUCAUUCUCCCUGAAGGCAUACUGGGUGUUUCUUGUGCCGAGUAUGCAUGACUAAGGCCAUUUUUAGUUAAAGGUGAGGCAAUCUAGGCGCACGCAUUCGCAUUCGGCGCCAGUAAAGAUCUGAAGAAUGUCAGGAUGGGGGGGGUGCAGUGGGUGGGCCGUUUAUUACAAAGAGAAAAACAAGAAGGCAGCUUGUUCAACAGAAUGAUAUAAUGAAACAACAACUAGAGCCGUGUCAGAAGGGUAUCAGAAAACAGGGUGAAUUUAUAAGCCAUGUGAGUUUAGAGAUGAAUGUGUCUUGAAGCUAUGUGGGUUUGAAACCUGGUUAUAAAUUGUCAUUAUUUAUUUAAUUGUAGUAUUAAAUUAAUAUUUGUAUAA